rnacentral:rRNA from 1 species
GAUGAACGCUGGCGGCGUGCUUAACACAUGCAAGUCGAACGGUGAAGGCGGAGCUUGCUCUGCUGCACCAGUGGCGAACGGGUGAGUAACACGUGAGCAAUCUGCCCCUGACUCUGGGAUAAGCGCUGGAAACGGCGUCUAAUACUGGAUACGAGCUGCGAAGGCAUCUUCAGCAGCUGGAAAGAAUUUCGGUCAGGGAUGAGCUCGCGGCCUAUCAGCUUGUUGGUGAGGUAAUGGCUCACCAAGGCGUCGACGGGUAGCCGGCCUGAGAGGGUGACCGGCCACACUGGGACUGAGACACGGCCCAGACUCCUACGGGAGGCAGCAGUGGGGAAUAUUGCACAAUGGGCGGAAGCCUGAUGCAGAAACGCCGCGUGAGGGACGACGGCCUUCGGGUUGUAAACCUCUUUUGGCAGGGAAGAAGCGAAAGUGACGGUACCUGCAGAAGAAGCGCCGGCUAACUACGUG